UUCCUGCCAGGACAGAACCUCUGCUCACUUCCCACGGGUAUAUUUCUGUCUGACUGGACGGCCGAUGCAGCAUUCAAGGACUUCAGAACCUUUGAUGUAAUUGCUUAAAAAGUAACAUCAAAGCACCUGGGCAGCUCUGACUGAAAGCAGGAAAGUUUGGGCUGUGCUGCGUCGCUCUGUGGGCAAAGGCCAGUCACGCUGGGACCGAGCCCCAGUCUGAGCCCCACAUUCUCUUGGUGAAAUCGCUCCCCAGGCUGGAGGACGUCUGGAGGGGGAGACCCCACCCCAGGGAGCCUACCCCAGGCGAGCGGGGCCCCUGGGAACUCGGCGAGCCAGAGCCAGCCCCUUUUGGAAGGCUGCAGGGGAAGCAUGACUGAGGUGGAGCCUGUGCUGGACUUUGCAUCCUCUGGGAGGACUGGCCGCAGGAACGCCCUCCCUGACAUCCUGGGCUCGCCGGCCGGCGUCAGCCCUUCCGACCUGCCUCUGAAAUUAGCUGAAAUGUCUCUAAGCUCAGACAGAUCCCAGGAAAUGCAGUCCCCCUCCACAGAGGUGCCCCCGCAGCAGCCCCAAAGCCCAGAGCUGAAGGACACGUCUUAACACCUCCCCUGGGAUGCAUUUCUGACCAGCAGGGAAAGGAGAGACUGUCGAGCAUCGACACAGCUUGAGUGGUGGGGCCUGGAGCUUGCUGGGUUUUCCUUGGUGCUAUGCAGCAAGAACAUCUUGUGUUCCUUGGAGCAGGGGAGUAGAGGAACCUCCAAGGGGGAAUAAGCAGCCACGCGUUUGGCAAAGCUGGGGAAAAACCCUGCGGGGAAACGUUUCUUCGAUGGCAUUUAAGGACACGACUUAGGAACCAAGGGCGUUUGUUUGGGGGUAUUUUCUCGUCUUCACACCCGAACAGCUGAGCGGUGCUGCCGCCCGCGAUGUCUCCGUGCUAGGAUCAUGACGAGCACCCAAGGGUUGUUCUUAGCUGAGUACGUUCGUUCACUGUGAUGUUCUGGGGCACAAUUUCCUUGUCUUUUCUUUUAUAAUAGAUGAUCCAGUAUCCUUAUUCAGGCCUUCUGAGAAGCCUGGGGCAAAUGGCGCAGUGGGGGUCCGUAGCACAUUCUCCUCUCUGGCACCCAAAGGUGAAGCCCUUGUCUGGCAAACAGAAGCGAGUCCCUUCCCAGGCUGGGUCCUGCUUACGCUGGGACCCCUGCCACUUGCAGGAUAAAGCUACCUGGAGCCCUGGCUCCCUUUAGGAGCUUGCCAACCAAAGGGGAUGAAGUUUGGCAGUUUCACCAAAGUCUCAAAGCAGCCAGAAGGCCACAUCGGGGCGUAAGUGACACCAAUCCAUGGAGCUUAGCAUCACUGGUGAACCAGGCUCAGCCCAGCCCCCUGGGCUUGCCUGGAUCCCUGCCCCCAUGCAGCACCCCUGCCCCGGGUUGUGGUUAGGGGCCAGGGCAUACUGUGCACAGCUACCUCCCUCACGACUGGCCUUCAGGAGCAGCGCUGACUCUGCCCCCAAGCCAUGGUUGCCGCCUGAGCUAAUCAGGAGCAUCGAGCGCUCGGGACGAGAAACGGCCGGCGGGGCUCUGCGGAGAGAGAAGGGGCGUCAGUGGGUUUCACAGCAAACCCCAGAGGGGGCUGCCCCAAACAACAGCAGAGAACCUGAGGCCUAGGAUUUUGCUGCCUAAACACAGGUGUUGUCUACCUGGCAGCACACUGCCCUCUGCAGGGAGAUUGGUGCAUUACACAGCCCCAAGUUCCCAUCCCUUACCGGCCAGGACAGCAGGGAACGAUUUGCAGGUGGUACAAGGCGCUACUCAGGUUUUGGGGGGGUUUAAUGUUUGCUUUUCACUACAGGCGUAGAGGGACCCUCCACCGUGCCUGGAUCCUCCCUGCCCCCGAGAGGAGGAAAAUAUAAAGGAAACCUAGUGGGUUUGGCUCAGAUAUAGUGUGGCACUUCAGCGAGUGCUGCCGUGGCCACACGGGGCAGGGUUCUGGAUUGAUAGAGGGCUCCCUCCUGCCAUGGUCCGCUCCAUAGGGGAGCUCUGGGACAGAGGACCCUGCUGUCCUGCUCGCCAUGGCCUCUCCCUUACUAUUCCUGUUGUUUGUAUUGCAGUAGUGCUAGGAGCCCCCGUCACGGGCCCAGGCCCCACUGGGCUGGGCGCUGUGCACACCCAGCGGAGACACUCCCAGCCCUGAAGAUCAAUGGGCCGUGCCCAGGCUGCAUGAGGGCUCAUGCUGGCUUUCGCCCCAGCACUCACUGUGGCUACCUGGCUCGUGGGAGGGAGACGAGCACUAUGCAUCCACCAGGACUCACUGCCACUGGCCUCGCCUCCAGCCUUGGGCACACAGGAGCCAGGAGAAUAGCCCCUCGCGGGAAGUCGUUUAGAUUCAGACCUUCCCCUCCCACUUGUGUCCCUGGGCUCCCUAACUCCUCCUUCGAGUGGGCACCCUGUGUCUGUGCUGCCAGCCCCCCACCCCCCGGUUGCCUCCAGCCAGGGUCUCUGGUUUGGGUGCUCAGGAGACUAGGAUUUUGCUGUCCUUUC